rnacentral:rRNA from 1 species
GAUGAACGCUGGCGGCGUGCUUAACACAUGCAAGUCGAACGAGAACGGGUUAUAGCUUGCUAUAAUUGUCAGCUAAGUGGCGCACGGGUGAGUAAUGUAUAGGUAAUAUGCCUCUUACUAAGGGAUAACAAAUGGAAACGUUUGCUAAUACCUUAUACUCCUUAUUAACAGAAGUUAAUAAGGGAAAGAUUUAUUGGUAAGAGAUUAGCCUGUAUUGUAUCAGUUAGUUGGUGGGGUAAUGGCUUACCAAGACUAUGACACAUAACUGGUUUGAGAGGAUGAUCAGUCACACUGGAACUGAGACACGGUCCAGACUCCUACGGGAGGCAGCAGUGGGGAAUAUUGCACAAUGGACGAAAGUCUGAUGCAGCAACGCCGCGUGGAGGAUGACACAUUUCGGUGCGUAAACUCCUUUUAUAUGAGAAGAUAAUGACGGUAUUAUAUGAAUAAGCACCGGCUAACUCCGUGCCAGCCGCCGCGGUAACAC